GUUGUUCUCUGGGCUGCAGGGGUGAAGCAGCAAUGCAGUAAGCAGCUUUAAACCAGGCCCUCACCUUCUGUACUUGGCGUGACAGAGUGGGGAUUCAGCCCUGACAAUAUGGAAGAGUAACAUCAAAAGCACAUGAAGGAGUACUACAAGCAAAGGAUUAAAGGGAACAAUAACAGUUUAAUAAGCAAGAGGAUGAAAAUGAAAAGUGCAGAUAAGUCCGAGGUAUGCAGCAAGAAGGGCUGAAACAGCUGGGACUGUUGUGGGUGGAAUGAUUUUCUUUUUGCAGCUGAUGUAUAAAUCCUAAGAGGGUCGCCCUGGAAACCUUAACACUAUGAAGGGUCUCAUUUGUCUUAUUGGGGAAGAACCAGCGGCCUUCAAAUGAGAGGUCUUGAAUCAUUUGUUGCCUCCCAGGGAAGACCUGACAACUGCAGCCAAGAUGAACACUGCACAGUGAUGGCAGAAGCCAGAACUUGAGCCCAUAAAGUCCACCACAUCCAAGCUCGCUUGCAGUGCUGUUUUGGCAACAAAUUUGCACUCAUCUACCAUAGCAGUGAACUCCUUCUUUGCCUGAUCAGGGAGCUUGGCUUUGAACUUCAGGAUAUUAUCCCACAGACUUAAAUCCUAUCAACCCAGCAGAGUCAGCUGGUUCAUGAUCACAAGCUGUAAACUCCCUGUGGAAUAAGCCUUCCUGCUGAAUAAGUCUGCUUUUUUUUGCUUUUUUUGGGGGGGGUAGAGACCUGGUGUCCCUGUCUCUUUUUUUCAUUAGCAGCAGUGACUAUCAGGGAGCCUGGAGGAGCAUGGUUAUAGAAGUGCUCAAAUCCCUGUGAAGGGACAUAAUAUCUUCUCUCCACCUUUUAGCAGUGGGAGGCAAUGGGCAGGCACGCCGCUGGGCUGCUGGGCAUGCUCAGGUCAGGAUACAUAUCAUCCAACCUCAGAGGCUGAUGAGGAGUCUACUUCCUCAGACCAUGGUGGAGAUGGCCCCUUUGUACCAGGGAGACUAGCUCAGAGCCCAUCACUGCCUCUUUGGGUGUACAAACUGGACACUUUUCUAUAGCCUCAAUAUCCUCUAGAGACUUUUGGGGGAACAAAGUAUAGCUCAUUCCUAGCAAGGCGCAUCUUAAGAAAAUUGGGGUGCCCCCUUCUUUGGUUAGAGUUAGGAGAACGUAUUUAAUUUAAAAUGGAAAAAGAAUAGAUCCCUCCAGAGGCGCGUAACCAAUGGCUGGCACUGCUUGCUUCUGAGACAGGGCUACUUGGCUGUGGCAGCUUUGCAUUGCCACACCCCACCCUGGGUUAGUCUGUCACUAUAAACUGAGCUCUGUGCCCUGCAUCUGCCAACAGAAACAAACCCGUGGGUAGUGGUACAAGCACCAAGGGAGGAUGUGGAAUCACUAAUACCAGCUGUGAUGAUUUGGCACUGCUUGUCAUAAUUUAUGAAUAUUGUGUGGGGUUUUUGUGAUGUUUGCUGCAUGCAUAUAUUGUGGUAAUUCAGUUACAGGAUUGUCAGGAAAUGCACCCAGGAAGGGGAAGGUGAACCCUGAUGUACAUUUCUCAGCACACAUUUGUGAGACAAUGCAAGAGCUAUUUGUUUUGAUGCUCUGGUGCAACCUCCUGCUGGUUUGCCAGACAGGUUUCCCCCAGGAAUAAAUUGGUGUCUGUGAAGGGGUCAAAAGACUCAAGAGACACACACUCCCUC